UACGGAGGGGGCGAGCGUUAUUCGGAAUUAUUGGGCGUAAAGGGCGCGUAGGCGGCUUUCUAAGUCAAAGGUGAAAUCCCUCGGCUCAACUGAGGAACUGCCUUUGAAACUGGACGGCUUGAGGCCGGGAGAGGGUAGCGGAAUUCCCAGUGUAGCGGUGAAAUGCGUAGAUACUGGGAGGAACACCGGUGGCGAAGGCGGCUACCUGGACGAAUACUGACGCUGAGACACGAAAGCGUGGGGAGCAAACAGG
rnacentral:rRNA from 1 species